rnacentral:rRNA from 1 species
CGAAUAGGGGAGCCGGAGGGAAACCGAGUCUUAAUUGGGCGUUAAGUUGCAGGGUAUAGACCCGAAACCCGGUGAUCUAGCCAUGGGCAGGUUGAAGGUUGGGUAACACUAACUGGAGGACCGAACCGACUAAUGUUGAAAAAUUAGCGGAUGACCUGUGGCUGGGGGUGAAAGGCCAAUCAAACCGGGAGAUAGCUGGUUCUCCCCGAAAGCUAUUUAGGUAGCGCCUCGUGAAUUCAUCUCCGGGGGUAGAGCACUGUUUCGGCUAGGGGGCCAUCCCGGCUUACCAACCCGAUGCAAACUGCGAAUACCGGAGAAUGUUAUCACGGGAGACACACGGCGGGUGCUAACGUCCGUCGUGAAGAGGGAAACAACCCAGACCGCCAGCUAAGGUCCCAAAGUCAUGGUUAAGUGGGAAACGAUGUGGGAAGGCCCAGACAGCCAGGAUGUUGGCUUAGAAGCAGCCAUCAUUUAAAGAAAGCGUAAUAGCUCACUGGUCGAGUCGGCCUGCGCGGAAGAUGUAACGGGGCUAAACCAUGCACCGAAGCUGCGGCAGCGAACGUAUCACCCAAGACAACUUUACGGAGUUGACGAUUGACGGAGCGAAGCGACGUCAAAGCGUUCAUUAAAGUCGAGUUGGCUUAGGGAUACGUUCGUUGGGUAGGGGAGCGUUCUGUAAGCCUGUGAAGGUGUGUCGUGAGGCAUGCUGGAGGUAUCAGAAGUGCGAAUGCUGACAUAAGUAACGAUAAAGCGGGUGAAAAGCCCGCUCGCCGGAAGACCAAGGGUUCCUGUCCAACGUUAAUCGGGGCAGGGUGAGUCGACCCCUAAGGCGAGGCCGAAAGGCGUAGUCGAUGGGAAACGGGUUAAUAUUCCCGUACUUGGUGUUACUGCGAAGGGGGGACGGAGAAGGCUAUGUUGGCCGGGCGACGGUUGUCCCGGUUUAAGCGUGUAGGUGUGUGUUCCAGGUAAAUCCGGUUCACUUUAACACUGAGGCGUGACGACGAGGCACUACGGUGCUGAAGCAACAAAUGCCCUGCUUCCAGGAAAA